CCCUUAGAUGUUCUGGGCCGCACGCGCGCUACACUGAACAGAUCAGCGUGUAUUCCCUUCCUGAGAAGGACGGGUAAACCGCUGAGCCCUGUUCAUGGUAGGGAUCGGGGCUUGCAAUUAUUCCCCGUGAACCAGGAAUUCCCAGUAGGCGCAAGUCAUAAGCUUGCGUCGAUUACGUCCCUGCCCUUUGUACACACCGCCCGUCGCUACUACCGAUUGAACGUUUUAGUGAGGUCCUCGGACUGUUUGCCUGGCGGUUUACCCUGCUUGGCUGGCGGGAAGACGACCAAACCUGAGCGUUUAGAGGAAGUAAAANUCGUAACA
rnacentral:rRNA from 1 species